GUUGUAUGGUUAAGUGACUAAGCGUACACGGUGGAUGCCUAGGCAAUCAGAGGCGAAGAAGGACGUGCUAAUCUGCGAAAAGCUUGGAUGAGUUGAUAAGAGGCGAAUAAUCCAAGAUAUCCGAAUGGGGAAACCCGAUGGAUGAAGAAUCCAUCAUUCUUAAAUGAAUACAUAGUUUAAGAAAGCGAACCGGGAGAACUGAAACAUCUAAGUACCCCGAGGAAAAGAAAUCAACCGAGAUUUUGUGAGUAGCGGCGAGCGAAAGCGAAAGAGCCUGCAAGUGAUAGCGACAGAGAUAGAGGAAGCAAUUGGGAAAUUGCGCGAUACAGGGUGAUAGCCCCGUACUUGAAAUCCAUGUUGUGGUACUGAGCUUGCGAGAAGUAGGGCGGGACACGAGAAAUCCUGUUUGAAGAAGGGGGGACCAUCCUCCAAGGCUAAAUACUCCUGAUUGACCGAUAGUGAACCAGUACUGUGAAGGAAAGGCGAAAAGAACCGGGGUGACCGGAGUGAAAUAGAACCUGAAACCGUGUACGUACAAGCAGUGGGAGCCUGAAAGGGUGACUGCGUACCUUUUGUAUAAUGGGUCAGCGACUUAUAUUUUGUAGCGAGGUUAACUGAAUAAGGGAGCCGAAGGGAAACCGAGUCUUAACUGGGCGGAUAGUUGCAAGGUAUAGACCCGAAACCCGGUGAUCUAGCCAUGGGCAGGUUGAAGGUUGGGUAACACUAACUGGAGGACCGAACCGACUAAUGUUGAAAAAUUAGCGGAUGACUUGUGGCUGGGGGUGAAAGGCCAAUCAAACCGGGAGAUAGCUGGUUCUCCCCGAAAUCUAUUUAGGUAGAGCCUUGAGCGGACACCUUCGGGGGUAGAGCACUGUUUCGGCUAGGGGGCCAUCCCGGCUUACCAACCCGAUGCAAACUGCGAAUACCGAAGAGUGAUACUCAGGAGACACACGGCGGGUGCUAACGUCCGUCGUGGAGAGGGAAACAACCCAGACCGCCAGCUAAGGUCCCAAAGUCUAUAUUAAGUGGGAAACGAAGUGGGAAGGCUUAGACAGCUAGGAUGUUGGCUUAGAAGCAGCCAUCAUUUAAAGAAAGCGUAAUAGCUCACUAGUCGAGUCGGCCUGCGCGGAAGAUGUAACGGGGCUAAAAUAUAGCACCGAAGCUGCGGCAUCAAUGGAAACAUUGUUGGGUAGGGGAGCGUUGUGUAAGCGGAAGAAGGUGAAUUGAGAGGUUUGCUGGACGUAUCACAAGUGCGAAUGCUGACAUAAGUAACGAUAAAACGAGUGAAAAACUCGUUCGCCGGAAGACCAAGGGUUCCUGUCCAACGUUAAUCGGGGCAGGGUGAGUCGGCCCCUAAGGCGAGGCUGAAAAGCGUAGUCGAUGGGAAACGGGUUAAUAUUCCCGUACUUGGAUAAACUGCGAUGUGGGGACGGAGAAGGUUAGGUUAGCAGACUGUUGGAUGUCUGUUUAAGUUGGUAGGUGGGGAGCUUAGGCAAAUCCGGGCUUCUAUUAACACUGAGAGAUGAUGACGAGGCUCUAAGGAGCUGAAGUAACUGAUACCACGCUUCCAGGAAAAGCCACUAAGCUUCAGGUUUAUCUAAACCGUACUGAAAACCGACACAGGUGGUCAGGUAGAGAAUACUCAGGCGCUUGAGAGAACUCGGGUGAAGGAACUAGGCAAAAUAGCACCGUAACUUCGGGAGAAGGUGCGCUGGAGUAGGUUGUAGGGAUUAACUCCUGAAGGCUGAACCAGUCGAAGAUACCAGCUGGCUGCAACUGUUUAUUAAAAACACAGCACUCUGCAAACACGAAAGUGGAAGUAUAGGGUGUGAUGCCUGCCCGGUGCUGGAAGGUUAAUUGAUGGUGUAAUCGAAAGAGAAGCUCCUGAUCGAAGCCCCAGUAAACGGCGGCCGUAACUAUAACGGUCCUAAGGUAGCGAAAUUCCUUGUCGGGUAAGUUCCGACCUGCACGAAUGGCAUAAUGAUGGCCAGGCUGUCUCCACCCGAGACUCAGUGAAAUUGAAAUCGCCGUGAAGAUGCGGUGUACCCGCGGCUAGACGGAAAGACCCCGUGAACCUUUACUAUAGCUUGACACUGAACAUUGAAUUUUGAUGUGUAGGAUAGGUGGGAGACAGAGAAGUGUGAACGCCAGUUUGCAUGGAGUCGUUGUUGAAAUACCACCCUUUAACGUUUGAUGUUCUAACGAAGAUUACGAAACGUGGUCUCGGACAGUGUCUGGUGGGUAGUUUGACUGGGGCGGUCUCCUCCCAAAGAGUAACGGAGGAGCACGAAGGUUUGCUAAUCACGGUCGGACAUCGUGAGGUUAGUGCAAUGGUAUAAGCAAGCUUAACUGCGAGACGGACAAGUCGAGCAGGUGCGAAAGCAGGUCAUAGUGAUCCGGUGGUUCUGAAUGGAAGGGCCAUCGCUCAACGGAUAAAAGGUACUCCGGGGAUAACAGGCUGAUACCGCCCAAGAGUUCAUAUCGACGGCGGUGUUUGGCACCUCGAUGUCGGCUCAUCACAUCCUGGGGCUGAAGUAGGUCCCAAGGGUAUGGCUGUUCGCCAUUUAAAGUGGUACGCGAGCUGGGUUUAGAACGUCGUGAGACAGUUCGGUCCCUAUCUGCCGUGGGCGUUGGAUAAUUGAUUGGGGCUGCUCCUAGUACGAGAGGACCGGAGUGGACGCAUCACUGGUGUUCCGGUUGUGUCGCCAGACGCAUUGCCGGGUAGCUAAAUGCGGGAGAGAUAAGUGCUGAAAGCAUCUAAGCACGAAACUUGCCAAGAGAUGAGUUAUCCCAGUUAAUAAGACUGUAAGGGUUGUUUGAGACGAAGACGUAGAUAGGUGGGGUGUGUAAGUGUAGUGAUACAUUGAGCUAACCCAUACUAAUUGCCCGAGAGGCUUAACCAUACAACCUCAAGCGUUUUG
rnacentral:rRNA from 1 species